UAAUACGUAGGGUGCAAGCGUUGUCCGGAAUUAUUGGGCGUAAAGAGCUCGUAGGCGGUUUGUCGCGUCUGCUGUGAAAAUCCGAGGCUCAACCCCCGGACCUGCAGUGGGUACGGGCAGACUAGAGUGCGGUAGGGGAGAAGGGAAUUCCUGGUGUAGCGGUGGAAUGCGCAGAUAUCAGGAGGAACACCAAUGGCGAAGGCACUUCUCUGGGCCGUAACUGACGCUGAGGAGCGAAAGCGUGGGGAGCGAAACAGGAUUAGAUACCCUGGUAGUCCACGCCGUAAACGGUGGGUGCUAGUUGUGGGUCACAUUCCACGUGAUCCGUGACGCAGCUAACGCAUUAAGCACCCCGCCUGGGGAGUACGGUCGCAAGACUAAAACUCAAAGGAAUUGACGGGGGCCCGCACAAGCAGCGGAGCAUGCGGAUUAAUUCGAUGCAACGCGAAGAA
rnacentral:rRNA from 1 species